rnacentral:rRNA from 1 species
AACGUAGGGGACGAGCGUUAUCCGGAUUUACUGGGCGUAAAGCGCAUGUAGGUGGCUUGAAAAGUUGGACGUGAAAGCUCCUGGCUUAACUGGGAGAGGUCGUACAAAACUAGCAAGCUUGAGGUUGGAAGAGGAGAGCAGAAUUCCCGGUGUAGUGGUGGAAUGCGUAGAUAUCGGGAGGAAUACCAGUGGCGAAAGCGGCUCUCUGGUUCAAUACUGACACUGAGAUGCGAAAGCGUGGGGAGCGAACAAG